rnacentral:tRNA from 1 species
GCCCCGGUAGCUCAGCCUGGUAGAGCACUGGCUUGGUAAGCCAGGGGUCGCGGGUUCAAACCCCGCCCGGGGCU